rnacentral:rRNA from 1 species
GAUGAACGCUAGCGGCAGGCUUAAUACAUGCAAGUCGAGGGGCAGCGCGGGUAGCAAUACCUGGCGGCGACCGGCAAACGGGUGCGGAACACGUACGCAACCUUCCCAAAACUGGUGAAUAGCCCUCCGAAAGGAGGAUUAAUACACCGUACCAUAAUGAAGAGGCAUCUCUUUGUUAUUAUAGCCGCAAGGCGGUUUUGGAUGGGCGUGCGCCUGAUUAGGUAGUUGGCGGGGUAACGGCCCACCAAGCCUGCGAUCAGUAACUGGUGUGAGAGCACGACCAGUCACACGGGCACUGAGACACGGGCCCGACUCCUACGGGAGGCAGCAGUAAGGAAUAUUGGUCAAUGGACGCAAGUCUGAACCAGCCAUGCCGCGUGAAGGAUGACGGCCCUCUGGGUUGUAAACUUCUUUUAUCUGGGACGAAAAAAGGGCUUUCUAGCUCACUUGACGGUACCAGAGGAAUAAGCACCGGCUAACUCCGUG